rnacentral:lncRNA from 1 species
AGGUCCAAAUAUCCAGUUGCAGACAAUACAAACUGAGUGUUUCCAAAGUGCUCUAUGAAAAGAAGUGUUAAACACUGUGAGUUCAAUGCACACAUCACAAAGCAGUUUCUGAGAAUGAUUCCAUCUAUUUUUUCUACGAAGAUAUUCCCUUUUCUACCGUUGGCCUCAAAGCACUUGAAUUCUCCACUUGCAAAUACCACAAAAAGAGAGUUUCAAAUCUGCUCUGUCUAAAGGAAGGUUCAACUCUGUGAGUUGAAUACACACCACAAAAAGAAGUUACUGAGAAUUCUUCUGUCUAGCAUUAUAUGAAAAAUCCCGUUUCCAACGAAGGCCACAAAGAGGUCCAAAUAUCCACUUGCAGAUUCUGCAAAAAGAGUGUUUCCAAACUGCUCUAUGAAAAGAAACGUUAAACUCUGUGAGUUGAACGCAAACAUCGCAAAGUAGUUUCUGAGAAUGACUGCGUCUAGUUUUUAUACGAAGAUAUUUCCUUUUCUACCAUUCACUUCAAAGCGCUUGAAGUCUCCCCCUGAAAAUUCCACAAAAAGUGUUUCCAAUCUGCUCCGCCUAAAGGAAGCUUCAACUCUGUGAGUUGAAUACCCACAACCCAAAGAAGUUACUGAGAAUUCUUCUGUCUAGCAUUAUAUGAAGAAAUCCCGUUUCCAACGAAGGCCUCAAAUACAUCCAAAUAUCCAGUUGCUGACUUUACAAACUGAGUGUUUCCAAACUGCUCUAUGAAAAGAAAGGUUAAACACUGUGAGUUGAACACACACGUACCAAAGUAGUUUCUGAGAAUGAUUCUGUCUAGUUUGCAUACGAAGAUAUUUCCUUUUCUACCAUUGGCCUCAAAGCUGUGAAAUCUCCACUUGCAAAUUCCACAAAAAGAGAGU